GUGAACGCUGGCGGUAGGCCUAACACAUGCAAGUCGAACGGCAACACAGUAAGAGCUUGCUCUUACGGGUGGCGAGUGGCGGACGGGUGAGGAAUACAUCGGAAUCUACUUUUUCGUGGGGGAUAACGUAGGGAAACUUACGCUAAUACCGCAUACGACCUACGGGUGAAAGCAGGGGAUCUUCGGACCUUGCGCGAUUGAAUGAGCCGAUGUCGGAUUAGCUAGUUGGCGGGGUAAAGGCCCACCAAGGCGACGAUCCGUAGCUGGUCUGAGAGGAUGAUCAGCCACACUGGAACUGAGACACGGUCCAGACUCCUACGGGAGGCAGCAGUGGGGAAUAUUGGACAAUGGGCGCAAGCCUGAUCCAGCCAUACCGCGUGGGUGAAGAAGGCCUUCGGGUUGUAAAGCCCUUUUGUUGGGAAAGAAAAGCAGCAGGUUAAUACCCCGCUGUUCUGACGGUACCCAAAGAAUAAGCACCGGCUAACUUCGUG
rnacentral:rRNA from 1 species